AACAAUAUAUUAUUACCAGUUAUAUGAUAUAUAGGGUUAUAUGACUUGGAAGAAAAGUAAAUUUAAUAUGUGAAUACCUGUUAUAUGAUAUAUAGGACAAAUGAAGUAAAUAUAUAAAUACCGGUUAUAUGAUAUAUAGGACAAUGGAAGGGUAUAUAUAAAUACCAAUUAUAUAUGAUAUAUAGGACAAUGGAUUGGUAUAUAUAAAUACCAGUCGUUUGAUUUAUUGGACAGUUGAUCGGUAUAUAUUAUUACCAAUUAUAUGAUAUAUAGUAUUAUAUGAUAUAGAGGAAUUGUAAUUUUUUUAUAUGAAUACCUGUUAGAUGUGAGGACAAGUAAAUGAUAUACAUAUAUUUUUCAUGGAGAUGACGACUACAUGUACUUACAAGUUAUAUUUUAGAAAUUUCUUUUUUGAUUGUUUUAUAUGGUAAGGAUUGAAAAAGGGAGAAAAAUUAUAAUUAUGCAAAACAAUUAAUGCGUACAAGUUAAUACUGUAAGUUAGUAUUACUCAAAGUGUUAAGUUAAAAAGACUCCACUGACGAUUUUUGACAUAUUAGGAAUUAUAUUGUUCUUGAUUUGUUGACAUAAUAGGGUCCUAGCGACAGCUCUUGUUAAAAUGUUUAUAGCUAAAGUCUGUCUGAAAAUCACACUUCAUUAAUAUCGAUUUUCAGUUUUAUUCCGAGUAUAUUCCUUAAGUAUCUUUUUUGUAUUGAAUACCCCGAUUAAUCUGUUUUUGAUUUUCUAUUUUCAUUCUUUAUUGUUUAGCUUUUGGGCCUCAGUGGAGCUCCUUUAAGUCAACUCUUUGUUGUGAUAAAUUUAAACACUAGGCAUGUAUAGAUAUACCUUGUUGUAAAUUUAGAUGUACUAGUAAUUAUACUGUUACUACAUAGUAUAACACAAUUUUUAAUCAAAACAAGUUAUACACCAUAGAUGUAAAUAUGAUUUCAUUAUACCUUCAUACAUAUCCUCAAUAGAAAUGUACAAUUUAGAUAAAAAAUAUACAUGGCUGUCAGGUGCAAGUGCUUAUUGACUCUUUAACUGGCUUUACCUCUAUCGAUAACACCUCGGGGAUAUUAACCAGCUUUCAGCUGCCCCUCAAGGAUAUAUACCAGUUCCCAUUUGCCUUUCGAGAUAUAUACCAGUUCUCAGCCCCCCCUUUGACAUAUAUACCAGUUCCCUGCUCGGAUAUAUAUACCAGUUCUCUGCCCCUUGGUGGAUAUAUACCAGUUCUCAGCCCCCCCCUUUGAGAUAUAUACCAGUUCACUGCUCAGAUAUAUACCAGUUCUUGGAUUCCCUCUUAGGGAAAGAUACCAGUUGUCUGUUACACCUCAGGGAUAUAUACUAGUUCUAAGCUGCCCCUUAGAAAUAUAUACUUGUUCUCACCUAUACCGCAGGUAUAUAUACCUAGUAUUGCCUUGUGGGAUAGAUAUAUUAGUUCUCAGCAACCCCCAGUGGUGGAUGUAUUCCAGUUCUCAGCCACCCCCAGUGGUGGAUGUAUUCCAGUUCUCGGCAUAUUCAUUGGUUAUAUAUACCAGCUCUCGGAUGUCAAUAUGCUCUUUCACACAGACAGCCAUGUUUUAUAAGUUUAUAUACUAUCAGAUAUUUAUGUUCAUAGAUAAUUUAUGUAAUGGUUGAAUUAGAAUUUUCUAAUUAAACAAUAUGUCAUAUUUAGUACCUGGAAGACAUUAUAACAUUAUAGGUAUACAUAAGUUAUAUUUCUGCUGAUAUUAACAUAAUUAUGAUAUGUUAGUUUACAUGUAUUGUUAACAUGAAAUUACUCAAAAGUUAUGUUGUUAUCCUGUGUCCUGGGUAACCAAUGGAUACUUGUCAUGUUUACACUUCAUUCGUGAUGAAUGUAGUUUACCGGAAUCAGUACCUCUGGGUUCAGUACCUCUGGGUUCAGCUAAAAUAAUGCUUUCAGACAGCAAUGAUAUAACUACAUCUUAUGAAUGGUAUGUUAGGUUUUUAUGCUGGCUGAUGUUAGUAUAUUCCAAGGUGAAGAUAUGGUAUAUAUAAACAUGUUACGUAUGUCUGAUUGUUACAUGAAAUUCUGAUUGAAUGUAUGUAGUACAUAUUAUUACAUGUUAAAGGGACUCCACUGAGGAUUCUUGACACUUGACAUGCCGUGAAAAUAUUUUUUUUGAGAUUAUUACUCCAUUUGAUGUAGAUCUAUACUAAUAAAUUAUAAGCAAAAUUUCAGAUCAUUAGCUCGCUCCCUUUUUCCAGAAUUAUUAUUAUAAUAGUGAAAAAUGACCCAAAAUUGAAAAGUGUUUAAACGCUUUUCAAUCAAAUCGGACUGAGAAUAGCAAAAACAUACAAUUUUCAAUGUAUUUCUUGUAUAAUUUUCUUAGUUAUAUUUAAUUUAUAUUUCUGUUUAAAGUGCUCAUGUUUAUUUAUGUGAAAAUUAGAAUGUUAUGUUUUUAGGCUUAUAAACCUCAGUUCCUUUAAUAUUGUUAAUUGUAUAUUUACAAGCCAUUGCAAUCCUUUUAUGAAAAUAAGAUUAUAUUAUUUUAUAAAAAAGUUAUGUAAAAUGACAUGGCACUAUACAUACAUUUUAAAUUGUUGUACUAUUUGUUUUAAAGGCCCAUUAAGCCUUAAAAAAUUCAAUCACUUUUAUUUUUCAAAAGCUUUCAUAAUUUUUUAUCCAAAGAAUUUCUCAUUAUCAGAGCCAUCUGUUGUUGUCUUUGCAGUACAGUACAAUAUGAUGAAUAAGUAUUUAAUAUGGAUGUUAAAUAACCAUUUUGUUGACAUUUUGCUACACAAAUCAUAUUUUCUUUUCAAACUCAUUUUUUUUUGCCAUGUGAUAAGAAUAUCACAUGUUGUAAAUCUAUAAUUACAACAUUAUAAAACACAUAUUUGCCCUUUUUUACAAAAAAAAAAUAAAUAUAUUCAUUUUUGAGGCGUAAUGUGCCUUUAAACUUUAAAUGUAUAUAUGAUAGGGUAAAUUCAUUUAUAUAGUAUCAUAGUUAACAUAUUUAUGAUAACAUGAAAAUCAUGUUAUGAAUUGUUUACUAGGUAUGAUAACAUGAAAAUCAUGUUGUGAAUUGUUUACUAGGUAUGAUAACAGGAAAAUCAUGUUAUGAAUUGUUUACUUGGUAUGAUAACAUGAAAAUCAUGUUGUGAAUUGUUUACUAGGAAUGAUAACAUGAAAAUCAUGUUAUGAAUUGUUUACUAGGUAUUUGAAUUUAUGUGUAUUUUAUGCUUAUAUUUGUAAUCCUCAUGAUGACAAAACUAUAUUGGCCAUGUUUAUACUUAAACAAUUCUAUAUGAAGUUAAGAUAAGAUCAUGCUGGAAUAUGUCAAUUAUACAUAUACAUAUAUAUUAAACAUGACUGUUUAAAACUUGAAAUGUUCAUUGUAAACAAUAUUCAGCUAUUUUGUUAGCAUCAAUAAAAACUUGUCUGAGAGAACUAAACAAUCGUGAAACAUUUCGAAACAAUUCUAUUCAUUUAACAUAGAACUUUUUAAGUUUAUUAUAAGUAGCUGGUUUUAUUGAAGAAUUAUAAGAAGAUAUCAGGCAGUGGUUGACCAACAUUUUGUAUAAUAAAUAACAUGUCUAGAACAUUAUGUAUUUUAUAAGGUUAAAAAAUUUAAAUUCAGAAUGGAUACACAAGAUCCAUAUUUAUUGAAUUUAUCCAACAAUGGUGACAUGUAUAUCAGUAUAGAGAAAUGUUAACAAAAUGUAGGCAAUAUAUAACAUUUAGAUCUGGUCAUAUAACCUUUAUGAGAGCAUUGUUAUUCUGCUGCUUUUGUUAUAAAUGUAAUACUUUAAAUAGUAAAAUAUAUCUUUUUGAUUGGUUCUGAUAGCAUGUAUGUGUGACUUUUCAUAAUAAAGAAUUGUACAAAA